rnacentral:rRNA from 1 species
CUACGUGCCAGCAGCCGCGGUAAUACGUAGGGUGCGAGCGUUAAUCGGAAUUACUGGGCGUAAAGCGGGCGCAGACGGUUACUUAAGCAGGAUGUGAAAUCCCCGGGCUCAACCUGGGAAUUGCGUUCUGAACUGGGUGGCUAGAGUGUGUCAGAGGGGGGUAGAAUUCCACGUGUAGCAGUGAAAUGCGUAGAGAUGUGGAGGAAUACCGAUGGCGAAGGCAGCCCCCUGGGAUGGCACUGACGUUCAUGCCCGAAAGCGUGGGUAGCAAACAGGAUUAGAUACCCUGGUAGUCCACGUCCUAAACGAUGUCGAUUAGCUGUUGGGCAACUUGAUUGCUUGGUAGCGAAGCUAACGCGUGAAAUCGACCGCCUGGGGAGUACGGUCGCAAGAUUAAAACUCAAAGGAAUUGACGGGGACCCGCACAAGCGGUGGAUGAUGUGGAUUAAUUCGAUGCACGCGAAGAACCUUACCUGGUCUUGACAU